AACGAACGCUGGCGGCAUGCCUAACACAUGCAAGUCGAACGAGACCUUCGGGUCUAGUGGCGCACGGGUGCGUAACGCGUGGGAACCUGCCCUUAGGUUCGGAAUAACUCCCCGAAAGGGGUGCUAAUACCGGAUAAUGUCUUCGGACCAAAGAUUUAUCGCCUUUGGAUGGGCCCGCGUUGGAUUAGCUAGUUGGUAGGGUAAAAGCCUACCAAGGCGACGAUCCAUAGCUGGUCUGAGAGGAUGAUCAGCCACACUGGGACUGAGACACGGCCCAGACUCGUACGGGAGGAAGCAGUGGGGAAUAUUGGACAAUGGGCGAAAGCCUGAUCCAGCAAUGCCGCGUGAGUGAUGAAGGCCUUAGGGUUGUAAAGCUCUUUUAACCGGGAUGAUAAUGACAGUACCGGGAGAAUAAGCGCCGGCUAACUACGUG
rnacentral:rRNA from 1 species